ACGAUGAACGCUAACGGCAGGCUUAACACAUGCAAGUCGAGGGGUAACGAUGGUUUCGGCCAGGCGACGACCGGCGCACGGGUGAGUAACGCGUAUGCAACCUACCUUUAACUGAGGCAUAGCUUGGAGAGAUCGGAAUUAAUACCUCAUAAUAUUUUUUAAUCACAUGAUUUUAAAAUUAAAGUUCUUUGGUUCGGUUAAAGAUGGGCAUGCGUCCCAUUAGCUUGUUGGUGAGGUAACGGCUCACCAAGGCAACGAUGGGUAGGGGGUCUGAGAGGAUGAUCCCCCACACUGGUACUGAGAUACGGACCAGACUCCUACGGGAGGCAGCAGUGGGGAAUAUUGGGCAAUGAAGGCAACUCUGACCCAGCCAUGCCGCGUGCAGGAUGAAGGCCCUCCGGGUCGUAAACUGCUUUUAUAUGGGGAAGAACACGUUUCGUUUUGGAAAACGUGUCGGUACCGUACGAAUAAGGAUCGGCUAACUCCGUGCCAGCAGCCGCGGUAAUACGGAGGAUCCAAGCGUUAUCCGGAUUUAUUAGGUUUAAAGGGUGCGCAGGCGGGAAGAUAAGUCAGCGGUGAAAUCCUGUAGCUCAACUACAGAACUGCCGUUGAUACUGUUUUUCUUGAGUUCGGUUGAGGUAAGCGGAAUGUGUAGUGUAGCGGUGAAAUGCUUAGAUAUUACACAGAACACCAAUUGCGAAGGCAGCUUACUAAACCGUUACUGACGCUGAGGCACGAAAGCGUGGGGAGCGAACAGGAUUAGAUACCCUGGUAGUCCACGCCGUAAACGAUGAUUACUCGUUGUGUGCAAUAUACUGUACGUGACUGAGCGAAAGCAUUAAGUAAUCCACCUGGGGAGUACGUCGGCAACGAUGAAACUCAAAGGAAUUGACGGGGGCCCGCACAAGCGGAGGAACAUGUGGUUUAAUUCGAUGAUACGCGAGGAACCUUACCCGGGCUUAAAUAGAGCAACACUUCGGUGGAAACUGGUAUUCCCUUCGGGGCGCACUACAAGGUGCUGCAUGGUUGUCGUCAGCUCGUGCCGUGAGGUGUCGGGUUAAGUCCCAUAACGAGCGCAACCCCUAUCACUAGUUGCCAGCGAGUAAUGUCGGGGACUCUAGUGAGACUGCCGGUGUAAACCGUGAGGAAGGUGGGGAUGACGUCAAAUCAGCACGGCCCUUAUGUCCAGGGCUACACACGUGUUACAAUGGUCGAUACAAAGGGCAGCUACCUGGUGACAGGAUGCUAAUCUCGAAAGUCGAUCUCAGUUCGGAUCGAAGUCUGCAAUUCGACUUCGUGAAGUUGGAUUCGCUAGUAAUCGUAUAUCAGCAAUGAUACGGUGAAACGUUCCCGGGCGUUGUACUCACCGCCCGUUCAGGCGAUUCUGCGCCGCAAUAUUCGCAGACAAUCCGGGAAGGGAAAUAUUUUUUUUUUUUU
rnacentral:rRNA from 1 species